GUAGUCCACGCCCUAAACGAUGGAUACUAGACGUCGGAAUACCUAAUUGUUUCGGUGUCGAAGCUAACGCAUUAAGUAUCCCGCCUGGGAAGUACGGUCGCAAGAUUAAAACUCAAAGGAAUUGACGGGGGCCCGCACAAGCGGUGGAGUAUGUGGUUUAAUUCGAUGCUACGCGAAAAACCUUACCCAGACUUGACAUCCGACGCUACCCUAUGAAAGUAGGGGUUCCCUUCGGGGACGUCGAGACAGGUGCUGCAUGGCUGUCGUCAGCUCGUGUUGUGAGAUGUUGGGUUAAGUCCCGCAACGAGCGCAACCCGUGUCACUAGUUACCAUCAUUAAGUUGGGCACUCUAGUGAGACCGCUUGGCUAUAAGCCAGA
rnacentral:rRNA from 1 species